ensembl:snRNA U6 U6 spliceosomal RNA
GGACUUGCUUCAGCAGUACAUAUGCUAAAAUUGGAACAGUACAGGGAGGAUUAGCAUGGAUGCAAGGAGGACAUGCAAAUUCAUGAAGAGUUCUGUGUAUUU